AUUGAACGCUGGCGGCAGGCCUAACACAUGCAAGUCGAGCGAGCGGCGGACGGGUGAGUAAUGUAUGGGGACUGCCCGAUAGAGGGGGAUAACUACUGGAAACGGUGGCUAAUACCGCAUACUAUCGGAUAACCCAUAUGGGAUUAGCUAGUAGGUGGGGUAAAGGCUCACCUAGGCGACGAUCUCUAGCUGGUCUGAGAGGAUGAUCAGCCAAACGGGGAACGAGAAAAGGCCCAGAACCCAAGGGAGGGAGAAGUGGGGAAUAUUGCAAAAUGGGCGCAAGCCUGAUGCAGCCCUGCCGCGGGUAAUAAGAAGGCCUUAGGGUUGUAAAGUACUUUCAGCGGGGAGGCGUUACCCGCAGAAGAAGCACCGGCUAACUCCGUGCCAGCAGCCGCGGUAAUAC
rnacentral:rRNA from 1 species